rnacentral:lncRNA from 1 species
UCACCUGCCUGUGCACCACCCAAAGGGGACAUUGUGACAAAUCCCUGAACCAAUUUUCUACAUAAUGUGCCUCUCCUCUGUUGCAGGAGACAUGACCCAAAAAGGGAUUAUGACAUAUCUCUGAGCCCAACACCCAAAUGUUGUGACUCUCCUGCCUGGGCUGUGCCUAGAGAAAAUAUAAUAUGUCACUGGGCCCUGCAUGCAAGUGAUCUGAUUCUCCAGCCUGGGCCUUGCCCACAGGGGAGAUUGAGACAUAUUCCAGGUGGAUGGUGACUCUAAGACCAGGAUUCAACACAACUAGAAGGCUUUGACUCUAAUACAAGUCACAGAAGGCUCUGCGACUCUUCUAUUUUCUCUAGGUUAUGCAAAUGGAGGUGGAUUGUGACAUAUCAUAGGGCCAACACAACACACAGUCUACAGGUGGAAUUGGGACUCUCAUGCAUGGAUCCAGUUCAUCAUUGAUACUGUGACUCAUGUACUUGGAUGCAACUCACAGGGGGUGUUGACGCUUUUACCUGAAGCUGGGACAUGUGUGGAAUUGUGAAUCUUAGCCCUAGAUCUUCCCACAAGUAUGACUGUGACAUAUACUUUUGCCUAGCACCUGAGUGAUUUUACUUCCCUGCCUGGGCCCAGCUCUCAGAAAAGAUUGUGAUGUGACUCUCUUGCUUGAGCCCUACCCACAGAGGCUAUUGUGAAAUUUCACUGGGCCCAGCACUUAGGUCAUGUGACUCUUAUUUUCAGCCUGGGCCCUGUCCACAAAGUCACUGUGAGAUGUCACUGAGCCC